GAAAUAACAAUACAGGACCUUUAAUGGUUUUGUAAUUGGAAUGAGUUAAGUAUAAACCCCUUUACAAGUAUCAAUUGGAGGGCAAGUCUGGUGCCAGCAGCCGCGGUAAUUCCAGCUCCAAUAGCGUAUAUUAAAGUUGUUGCAGUUAAAAAGCUCGUAGUUGGAUUUCUGUUAAUUACUUUAUAUAAUUUUACACUUUUUUGUGUAGUUAUAUAGUAUUAACAUAAUUCAUAUUACUAUUUUUAGUAUAUGAAAUUUUACUUUGAGAAAAUUAGAGUGCUUAAAGCAGGCUUUUGCCUUGAAUACUUCAGCAUGGAAUAAUAAUUAAAGAUUUUUAUCUUUCUUUUAUUGGUUCUAAGAUAAAAAUAAUGAUUAAUAGGGACAGUUGGGGGCAUUUGUAUUUAACAGUUAGAGGUGAAAUUCUUAGAUUUGUUAAAGACAAACUAGUGCGAAAGCAUUUGCCAAGGAUGUUUUCAUUAAUCAAGAACGAAAGUUAGGGGAUCGAAGACGAUCAGAUACCGUCGUA
rnacentral:rRNA from 1 species